rnacentral:tRNA from 1 species
GAGGGUAGAGCUCAGGGGUAGAGUGUGUGCUUAGUGUGCAUGAGGUCCUGGGUUCAGUCCCCAGCACCUCCA